rnacentral:rRNA from 1 species
GAUGAACGCUGGCGGCGUGCCUAAUACAUGCAAGUCGAGCGAACAGACGAGGAGCUUGCUCCUCUGACGUUAGCGGCGGACGGGUGAGUAACACGUGGAUAACCUACCUAUAAGACUGGGAUAACUUCGUGAAACCGGUGCUACUACCGGCUAAUAUAUUGAACCGCAUGGUUCAAUAGUUCAAGACGGUUUUGCUGUCACUUAUAGAUGGAUCCGCGCCGCAUUAGCUAGUUGGUAAGGUAACGGCUUACCAAGGCAACGAUGCGUAGCCGACCUGAGAGGGUGAUCGGCCACACUGGAACUGAGACACGGUCCAGACUCCUACGGGAGGCAGCAGUAGGGAAUAUUCCGCAAUGGGCGAAAGCUUGACGGAGCAACGCCGCGUGAGUGAUGAAGGUCUUCGGAUCGUAAAACUCUGUUAUUAGGGAAGAACAAAUGUGUAAGUAACUAUGCACGUCUUGACGGUACCUAAUCAGAAAGCCACGGCUAACUACGUG